rnacentral:tRNA from 1 species
GCUGAUAUGACUCAGUUGGUAGAGCGCACCCUUGGUAAGGGUGAGGUCCCCAGUUCGACUCUGGGUAUCAGCACCA